GACGAACCGUGCGAACGUUGUUCGGAAUCACUGGGCUUAAAGGGCGCGUAGGCGGCUUUCUAAGUCAGGGGUGAAAUCCGGCAGCUCAACUGUCGCAGUGCCUUUGAUACUGGAGAGCUCGAGGGAGGUAGGGGUCUGUGGAACUUCCGGUGGAGCGGUGAAAUGCGUUGAUAUCGGAAGGAACGCCGGUGGCGAAAGCGACGGACUGGAUCUCUUCUGACGCUGAGGCGCGAAAGCCAGGGGAGCAAACGGG
rnacentral:rRNA from 1 species